rnacentral:tRNA from 1 species
CGGCCAUAUCGGCAACAGGCUUUUAACCAGUUGGUCGGCAGUUCGAAUCUGCCACGGCCCACCA